GGGAAUGUGGCUUAGUGGUAGAGUGCUUGCCUAACAUGCAUGAAGUCCUGGGUUCGAUUCCUCAAUACCA
rnacentral:tRNA from 1 species